CUCAGUGUUUAUCUGUGGGUGUCUGCUUCUGCUUCCAUCAGCUACUGGAUGAAGGCUCUAGGAUGGCAUAUAAGCCAUGAGGUGAACAGCAUUGCUACAUGGUACCAUCCUGAGGCAAACAGCAUUGUUACUCCAUAUCAUCCUGUGUCCAUGCUGCUUUACUUCACCACAGCAAUGGAAUACAACAGCCAUGCACUACACCAUAUUUUGACACAACAACAAUGAGUGGCUUACACAAGGGCCAUGCCCCUGGAGUCAGGCAACUGCAUCUUUUGUCUUCUAACCUUUGGCCUGCCCUCAUGAAACAAGUGGAGGCAGAACUUGUAUUAAUCAGGAUGCUGUAAAGGAACAGAACUGAUUGAAUGUGGUGUGUGUGUGUGUGUGUGUGUGUGUGUGUGUGUGUGUGUGUGUGUGUUGUGUAUGAGGUGAGGGUGGGAUUUAAAUGCAGUCUGUGUUCCAUGUAAUCCAACAAUUUAAAGACCAGAAAUCUGGUAGCUGUUCAGCAGUCCCAAUCUGGUGUUGGAGUGCCAGAAGAUUCCCAGAGAGCCACUGGGCUGCAAUCUACAUUGGAAUCCUAAAGAAGUAGGUUCUAGUAUUGGGGAAGGAAUGCCUUGGAAACAGGAUAGACGGAACUUGCCAUCAAGGGUGAGGGCAAGCAGGCUAAAACCAAAAGCUUCCUUCUUCCUUGUCCAUUUCUGUGGGCUUCCACCUUAAGGUAUGGCACAGAAUUGUCAUAAUUCUUCCCAUCACAAAUGACAUAGUCAAUAAAAUUUGGGUUUUGGUGGACUUUGGGGAGCCCCCGUUGAGGGCCCUACCCUGCCUGGGG
rnacentral:lncRNA from 1 species